AUACGGAGGAUCCGAGCGUUAUCCGGAUUUAUUGGGUUUAAAGGGAGCGUAGGCGGACGCUUAAGUCAGUUGUGAAAGUUUGCGGCUCAACCGUAAAAUUGCAGUUGAUACUGGGUGUCUUGAGUACAGUAGAGGCAGGCGGAAGUUGUGGGGGAGCGGGGAAAUGCUUAGAUAUCACGAAGAACUCCGAUUGCGAAGGCAGCCUGCUGGACUGUAACUGACGCUGAUGCUCGAAAGUGUGGGUAUCAAACAGGAUUAGAUACCCUGGUAGUCCACACAGUAAACGAUGAAUACUCGCUGUUUGCGAUAUACAGUAAGCGGCCAAGCGAAAGCGUUAAGUAUUCCACCUGGGGAGUACGCCGGCAACGGUGAAACUCAAAUGAAUUGGCGGGG
rnacentral:rRNA from 1 species